CCUACGGGAGGCAGCAGUGAGGAAUAUUGGUCAAUGGACGAGAGUCUGAACCAGCCAAGUAGCGUGAAGGAUGAAUGCCCUAUGGGUUGUAAACUUCUUUUAUAUGGGAAUAAAAUGUUCCACGUGUGGGAUUUCGUAUGUACCAUAUGAAUAAGGAUCGGCUUACUACGGGCCAGCAGCCGCGGUAAUACGGAGGAUCCGAACGUUAUCCGGGUUUAUUGUGUUUAGAGGAAGAGUAGGUGGAUUGUUAAGUCAGUUGUGAAAGUUUGCGGCUCAACCGUAAAAUUGCAGUUGAAACUGGCAGUCUUGAGUACAGUAGAGGUGGGCGGAAUUCGUGGUGUAGCGGUGAAAUGCUUAGAUAUCUCGAAGAACUCCGAUUGCGAAGGCAGCUCACUGGACUGCAACUGACACUGAGGCUCGAAAGUGUGGGUAUCAAACAGGAUUAGAUACCCCUGUAGUC
rnacentral:rRNA from 1 species